rnacentral:rRNA from 1 species
UACGAAGGGGGCUAGCGUUGUUCGGCAUUACUGGGCGUAAAGCGUGCGCAGGCGGCUUUUCAAGUCAGUGGUGAACGCCCGGAGCUCAACUCCGGAACUGCCAUUGAAACUGUUUAGCUAGAGUACGAGAGAGGUGAGUGGAAUUCCCAGUGUAGAGGUGAAAGUCGUAGAUAUUGGGAAGAACACCGGUGGCGAAGGCGGAUCACUGGCUCGUAACUGACGCUCAUGCACGACAGCGUGGGGAUCAAACAGG